rnacentral:lncRNA from 1 species
GAAAAUGGAAGAGGGAGAGGAUGCAGAGGUGGAGGAAAACAAAGAAAAGCAGAGCAGAAGCCCAUCGCCUGGGGAAACUGCAAGUUCUAAGGGGUCUCAUAAGCUGUGGAAGAUGGUAGCAUAGUGGUAGAUCUGUCCAAUCUUGGUGCACAGCAUGUAAUCAUAUUAACUGAGUUGUGUUUUCAUUGCUGGGGCAUAUUUUGGAGGAGAUUUUUACCUCAACACCAUGGUGUUACCACAAUGCUGAUUCCAAGAUGCCUUCCAGGCUCGAACCCGGACAUGUGAGCCACUGGCCAGCCUCAACAAUUUGGCGAACCAAUGCAGGACCUGAGAAAGGCAGAGGACAUUUGGAAGAAACACUGCUGAUUUGUAGCUCCAUGCAAGAAGAAAAGAAUUAAAAUUUGUACCACAGAAGGGCCGAGAUACCUGGCUUAUGACUACGUCAUUAACAAUAAAGUACCUGCUGUACAGCUGCCAAGCUUGUCAUGAGUGCGCAAACAUUUGGAAUUCAGACCACAAGAAUGCUGUCUGAGUCUUCAGGCACCCAGUCAUCAGGGUCCAGGUUGAUGCCGCAGCAUGUCUUCCAACCCGCCUACCACCAGAGGGCAGCAGCGUACAUUCACAACAAUUGUUGAGAAGUCAGGAAGCCCAGGAAUCUUAUGUGUGGAUGAGGACAUAGCAAAAGGAGAAGCAUUCCAUACCACCUGCCUUCAUGCCUGCCACGCCCUGGGUUUGGGCCCCCAUCUGAACCAUCUCCUGCACAUAGCCAUGCAAUCAUAAUAAGGAAUCUCGAGAUCUGUGACAAUCUCUCUCUUCUCCCCAGCCCACAGCUCCAUCACACCCUACUCUAAUCACUAAGGAUCACUCAAAAUACUUCACUGUCUUCUGUUUUUCCAAAGUCCCUAAGUCACUUUAAGACUUUCUAUGUCCUCUGUAAACAGUCACAUACUCAUGUCUGGGGCUAGGUACACAUGUGGAGAUAGAGUGUAAGAGACAAGAAUGAAGGAGAGAAAAGUGAGGAAGGAAAAAUAAAGAGCUAUUUAUGUAGUAGGUCUGUGUGCCCCAAACACCAUGGGAUGAUCCAAGGAUAUCCAGCAUUAGGUGUGACUUCUUCAAAAUAGUUUUGAGUAAGCAGCUUAGCCCAGAGAAGACCUAAGGAUCCAAAGCAUUGCUGCAUAUUACUACUGUGUGCAAAGAAGCCAGGAAGCUAUCCCAGGAAAUUUCAUCACAUCCCUCAAUGGCAGAUGCAUUCUACUGAGAAGAGAGCAACGGGUUCACUUGGCAAAUAUUGCUGUCACAUGAUGUCGAUGUAUAUGCAUCUCCUAUGACUUUAACUCCUGUGGAGCACUGCCUGCCUCAGGAGCCAGCACUUGUCCAAGCUGCCACAGGUCAACCUGGUUCUUGGUUCUCCUAAAGACUCCUUAGUCUGAGGGAACUUACAUUCCCAUACUUCUGAGACCCAAAUAACCCAUUUCCCAAAUCCAUGCAGGAAAACCACACGGAAAUAUUUGGGGCAUCUAUGAGAAAAUUCUCCUUCAGGUCAAAAUCACUCUGUGAAGGCCAAGCUACCUUUACCUCAAGUCUACACCAAUGGUAAUGAAUUUUUAAUAAAAAUUUCUCAGGAGAAAUUUCUUUUACUAUGACUGGCCUUUUUGCUUAAUCUCAAAACCAGAGUUAAUAAUAUACUCUGAGGUCACUUCAGACGUAGAACAAUGCCAACUGUAUGCAUUUCCUUUGUAUAACCUCUCUUUAAGGGACUAAUGGAACAACCAACCUUACUUGCCUUGAGUUUUAAGUAACCAAUCAUUAUAAUCUGAUGUAAGGCAUAGCUGUUAUUUUAAAAUAUGUUUUUCAAUGCUUCUGACCCAGAGUGUAAUGAAUGUGUAUCUAUGUAAGUGUUACAAUGAUCACAUUUGGAAAAUGGUAAAUAGGAUCAAAGCUGUUUUUUAAAAAUGAAUA